AUUGAACGCUGGCGGCAUGCCUUACACAUGCAAGUCGAACGGUAACAGGUCUUCGGACGCUGACGAGUGGCGAACGGGUGAGUAAUACAUCGGAACGUGCCCGAUCGUGGGGGAUAACGAGGCGAAAGCUUUGCUAAUACCGCAUACGAUCUACGGAUGAAAGCAGGGGACCGCAAGGCCUUGCGCGGACGGAGCGGCCGAUGGCAGAUUAGGUAGUUGGUGGGAUAAAAGCUUACCAAGCCGACGAUCUGUAGCUGGUCUGAGAGGACGACCAGCCACACUGGGACUGAGACACGGCCCAGACUCCUACGGGAGGCAGCAGUGGGGAAUUUUGGACAAUGGGCGCAAGCCUGAUCCAGCAAUGCCGCGUGAGUGAAGAAGGCCUUCGGGUUGUAAAGACUCUUUCAGUUGAGAAGAAAAGGAAUUGUGACUAAUAAAUUAGCAAUUCAUGACGGUAUCAACAGAAGAAGACACCGGCUAACUACGUAGCCAGA
rnacentral:rRNA from 1 species